AGUGAGGUGGCUGAGAACUCAAGCAAUAGACUGUAAAUCUAUAAACGAAUUAUAUUCCCUCAUUA
rnacentral:tRNA from 1 species